rnacentral:rRNA from 1 species
UACAGAGGGUGCUAGCGUUGUUCGGAAUCAUUGGGCGUAAAGGGUUCGUAGGUGGCUUGCUAAGUCAGACGUGAAAUCCCUCGGCUCAACCGGGGAACUGCGUCUGAGACUGGCGAGCUUGAGUGCAGGAGAGGAACGCAGAAUUCCAGGUGUAGCGGUGAAAUGCGUAGAUAUCUGGAGGAAUACCGGUGGCGAAGGCGGCGUUCUGGACUGCAACUGACACUGAGGAACGAAAGCCAGGGGAGCAAACGGG